rnacentral:rRNA from 1 species
CCUACGGGAGGCAGCAGUGGGGAAUAUUGGACAAUGGGGGAAACCCUGAUCCAGCGACGCCGCGUGAGUGAAGAAGUAUUUCGGUACGUAAAGCUCUAUCAGCAGGAAAGAAAAUGACGGUACCUGACUAAGAAGCCCCUGCUAACUACGUGCCAGCAGCCGCGGUAAUACGUAGGGGGCAAGCGUUCUCCGGAUUUACUGGGUGUAAAGGGAGCGUAGACGGCAGCGCAAGUCUGGAGGGAAAGGCCGGGGCCCAACCCCGGGACUGCUCUGGAAACUGGGAAGCUGGAGUGCAGGAGAGGUAAGCGGAAUGCCUGGUGUAGCGGUGAAAUGCGUAGAUAUCAGGAGGAACACCGGGGGCGAAGGCGGCUUACUGGACUGUAACUGACGUUGAGGCUCGAAAGUGUGGGUAUCAAACAGGAUUAGAUACCCUUGUAGUC